rnacentral:rRNA from 1 species
UAGACGCAGGUCAUCAACCUGCAUCGAUUACGUCCCUGCCCUUUGUACACACCGCCCGUCGCUUCUACCGAUUGGUCGUCCCGGUGAACAAUCGGGAGGCCGUGCUCAUGGUCAGCAAUGGCCGGAGCGCGGUUGAACUUUUGUAAAUUUGGACGACUAGAGGAAGAAGAAGUCGUAACAAGGUUUCCGUAGGUGAACCAGCGGAAGGAU